rnacentral:rRNA from 1 species
GAUGAACGCUGGCGGCGUGCCUAAUACAUGCAAGUCGAGCGAACAGACGAGGAGCUUGCUCCUCUGACGUUAGCGGCGGACGGGUGAGUAACACGUGGAUAACCUACCUAUAAGACUGGGAUAACUUCGGGAAACCGGAGCUAAUACCGGAUAAUAUAUUGAACCGCAUGGUUCAAUAGUGAAAGACGGUUUUGCUGUCACUUAUAGAUGGAUCCGCGCCGCAUUAGCUAGUUGGUAAGGUAACGGCUUACCAAGGCAACGAUGCGUAGCCGACCUGAGAGGGUGAUCGCCCACACUGGAACUGAGACACGGUCCAGACUCCUACGGGAGGCAGCAGUAGGGAAUCUUCCGCAAAGGGCGAAAGCCUGACGGAGCAACGCCGCGUGAGUGAUGAAGGUCUUCGGAUCGUAAAACUCUGUUAUUAGGGAAGAACAAAUGUGUAAGUAACUAUGCACGUCUUGACGGUACCUAAUCAGAAAGCCACGGCUAACUACGUG